GUACUCUCGCUUCAGCAGUACAUACAUUAAAAUUGGACUGAGACAGGGAAGGUUAGCACAGCCCCUGCGCAAGGAUGACGUGCAAACUUGUGAAGUUUUAAAAUCUAAU
ensembl:snRNA U6 U6 spliceosomal RNA